ACUGACCCGUUUGAGGUUCUGAACAGUUUAAAUAAAGAGUUUAAUGAACCGGAAAUGGUCGACACGCCGUCUAACGGUUCUGCAGGAUCCUGUGUGUGUGUGUGUGUGUGUGUGUGUGUGUGUGUGUGUGUGUGUGUGUGUGUUUGCGUGUGUGUGUGUGUGUGUGUGUGUGUGUCGGUCUGAACUGAGUCCUCGUGUGGUUCAUCUGUUAAAUAUUCACUUUAUAAUCUGUAGUUAUUGAUCUGAUGUUUGAGUUUCCUGAAGCUGUCUGAGGGCGGAGGUCUGUAUGACGUCAUGACCUCUCAGAGCGGAGCAUCUGUUCUCAGAGACGAUCUUUGGUGACGUUUUCUCUCUGCGUCACUUUUCUUUCAUGUGAAGUGUUUCCCGCUGAGUCUCUGUUGUUUUUAGCGGAGGGAAGAGAAAAGACCGGCUGGAUGAAGACUUCCGGUGACAGCUGGGCUCAGGUGGACGAGUCUGAUGUGUCCAGCAGACUGAUGCCAUGGCGACUGCAGACACAGAAGCACUCAGACAGUAACUGUUGAGAAGAACUCAGAACCACGACUGUUCUCCAGAUGAUUAUGAGCGUUCAGGAUCAUUUUACACAUUUUCUAAUGAACGUGACACAAUAAACACACCAG